rnacentral:rRNA from 1 species
AACGAACGCUGGCGGCAUGCCUAACACAUGCAAGUCGAACGAGACCUUCGGGUCUAGUGGCGCACGGGUGCGUAACGCGUGGGAACCUGCCCUUAGGUUCGGAAUAACUCCCCGAAAGGGGUGCUAAUACCGGAUAAUGUCUUCGGACCAAAGAUUUAUCGCCUUUGGAUGGGCCCGCGUUGGAUUAGCUAGUUGGUAGGGUAAAAGCCUACCAAGGCGACGAUCCAUAGCUGGUCUGAGAGGAUGAUCCGCCGCACUGGGACUGAGACACGGCCCAGACUCCUACGGGAGGCAGCAGUGGGGAAUAUUGGACAAUGGGCGAAAGCCUGAUCCAGCAAUGCCGCGGGAGUGAUGAAGGCCUUAGGGUUGUAAAGCUCUUUUACCCGGGAUGAUAAUGACAGUACCGGGAGAAUAAGCUCCGGCUAACUCCGUG